rnacentral:misc_RNA from 1 species
AACGCACCUUGCGCUCCUUGGUAUUCCGAGGAGCAUGCCUGUUUGAGUGUCAUUAAUAUAUCAACCUCCUCAGGUUUUUACUUGUUGAGUGUUUGGAUGUGGGGGUUUCUUUUGCUGGUCUCUUUUGAGGUCGGCUCCCCUAAAAUGCAUUAGCAGAACAAUCUGUUGACAGUGGUGAGCAACGUGGAUACUCCGCAAGGAAUACCCUAUGCUGUGCACCCGUUCAUUGGUGUGAUAACUAUCUACGCUUUUGACGUGAAACAGGUUCAGCUUCUAACAGUCCAUUGACUUGGACAAUUUUUCAUUAAUGUGACCUCAAAUCAGGUAGGACUACCCGCUGAACUUAA